rnacentral:lncRNA from 10 species
CUCAGCCUCCCAAGUAGCUGGGACUACAGGCGCCCGCUCCGUGCCCGGCUAUGUUUUUUUGUAUUUUUAGUAGAGACGGGGUUUCACUGUGUUAGCCAGCAUGGUCUCAAUCUCCUGACCUCGUGAUCUGCCUGCCUUGGCCUCCCAAAGUGCUGGGAUUACAGGCGUGAGCCACUGCGCCCGGCCCCCUCUGAUUCUUUACAGAUUGUUAUGGAAGACUUUUACUAAUCAGUGGGCCUCUGAAUAUUGAAAUCAGCCUGAGGUGAAGGCUUGAGUCUUCUUUUCCUAGGGGAGGGAACCAGGAAAUAAGCCGCUUCUUCCUGACCUUGCUGCACUAUGCUGGAGAGGGCUUGUGGCAAGACACCCAGAGAAUCUCUCUGCACCACGUAUUCCAGCUGGAGGUGGCGUCAGCAAUUCUGGACUGCUUUUUCUAUCUUUUCAGUGCCUCAUUCAGUGAUGUCAAGUUAAAACCAGAAACGAUGGGUGUUCACCAGAUUUUUGGUUCUUAUGAAGGGACAUGGAUGGAGCUGGAAACACUUAUGCUCAGCAAACUAAUGCAGGAACAGAAAACCAAGAACCACAUAUUCUCACUUAUAAGUGGGAGCUAAACAAUGAGAAAACAUGGACACAUGUGGGGGAACAAAACAUACCGGGGCCUGUUGCAGAAGCAGGCAGGGUGAGGGAGAGCAUCGGGAAGAACAGCUAAUGGAUGCUGGGCUUAAUACCUAGGUGAUGGGUUGAUCUGUGCAGCACAUCACCGUGGCACAUGUUUACCUAUGUCACAAACCUGCACAUCCUGCACCUGUACCCCUGAACUUAAAAGUUGAAGAAGAAAAAAUAAAUUUGCAUAUAGUAAUUUUUAGGAUACACUGUUAGGGUCAAUACAUUUCAUACGGUUUUAACGUAUGGCUCAUCUUACCCUACAAGGAAUAUUGGAAAAUUGUCUGGGGGCAAAAGAGCCUGACCUUUGUGCUGUCAUGUUGACAAGUCUUGUGAGGAAAGCGGCCCUGGAAAGGCACGUGCCUCUGUGCAAAUUACUUUCCAGCAGAGGUAAUUCCCAUAGAGGCUAAUAGUUAAAGGCUUUGUGCCAAGCCUCACUCCACACAGCUAGAGGAAAGAAGUGCCUCAUUUAUUUAGGAAAAUCUGGGUGAAUCAUCAAGGCAUUCACCACAGUUUUCACAUUUGCUUAUGGUUGUUUUGCCCUCAGUGUUUUCAUGUUCAUGUAUUGGCCUCAGGAUUCCUGCACCAGAUGAAUGAUAUAAAAUUGAAUCCAUAUGCCCAUUUGGUGCAUACCUUGAACAUUGCUUUAACUUUUACACAGAAUAUGUUUUUGUUUGUUUGCUUGUUUCUAGAAGUUCCAGGAAAAGAAACAAAUUUCAUGUAGCUUCUUUACACCAAGGAGAAAAAUCUUUCCCAUUUUUUUCAAUUGAAGGGUCAGCUUGUUCAGGGUCCCAGAUUUGUGCUAUUUCAAAGAUAAAUCCCUGAUUUACCUUGAUGAAAGCCAGAUAUCUUAUCUCCACAUAGGUAUUAGCCCCUAUCACCUAAGUCUAUACCAUAUUCAGUAGAAUUUCCCUUGAUCGCUUAGAGAUUUUUUUUUCUGUCAUCUGAGGAUUUGCCUUUCUUUCCAGCAGAUAUAUUUUUAAGCAUUUUGAUCACAUAGAAGAAACAUUUGUAAAUAUUUUAGCAUGCAGUGUUGUCCACAUUGACUCUGUCCACAGUUUUUUGAAACAAAAUUCUCCAAAAUGUUUCCAAUUCUCUAUAGCAUGGUAAAAUGUUACAUUAACUUUUCUUCCUUCUUUUUGUCAAUAAAGCCAUGCUGACAAUUUAACUAUGUGCCUGGAGCUAGAAUAUAAAAUUUAUAACAUCAGGUCUUUAUCUUAGGUUUUUAAUCAAUUUUGGAUCCUUUUGUAGAGAAGCUCGAUAUUCUCAACUAAAUAUCGUAAUAGUAUAUUUGAAUCUAAUCGUGUAAACUAUUGUGGUCAUGCUUAUAAAGUUUCUUGACUUGACCUAAUAAAAAGACUGAUUAUAUGCACUAAAGUACAAAUAGUUAUUUUAUCCAUGUUAGAUCAUUACCUCAUAAAUUGAACAUAAUUAUUAGUAAUAAAAUAUCUUUAACUUAUAAAUACACAUAUGUAUAUGUAGAUUCUCUCUAUAUUCUCUCUAUAUGUAGACUCUCCAGUACACAGUCAAAAUGAAAGAACAAUUGAAACCCAAAACAUGUAUCAUCUCUCUGAAGCAGUUAAAGAUGUGUUCUGGCAAUUUGAGGUCUAAGCAAACAAUAAUGAUGAGGCUGGUAAUGGGAAAAUUAGUAACGGGGCUUUUAAAUAAUUUUUGAAGUUUCUAUGCCCUUGAGUUAUUUUAAUAAUGAUGAUGAUGAUAUUUUAGAGAUGCUGUCUUAUUCUGCUACUCAAGCUGGCCUUGCAUUCCGGGGCUCUAGCUAUCUUCCAGCCUCAGCCCCCUGAGUAGCUGGGACUAUAGGUGCAUGUCACUGUGCCCUGACCCUGAGCCAUUUUACUUGUAUUGAUACUUGAGAGCUGAUUCACAUGAGAUUAUGUGUUUU